rnacentral:rRNA from 1 species
UACGUAGGGUGCAGGCGUUAAUCGGAAUUACUGGGCGUAAAGCGUGCGCAGGCGGUUUCUUAAGUCAGAUGUGAAAGCCCCGGGCUUAACCUGGGAACUGCGUUUGAAACUGGGAGACUAGAGUGUGGCAGAGGGGGGUGGAAUUCCACGUGUAGCAGUGAACUGCGUAGAUAUGUGGAGGAACACCGAUGGCGAAGGCAGCCCCCUGGGCUAACACUGACGCUCAUGCACGAAAGCGUGGGGAGCAAACAGG